CUGAUUUUUUUAAGAGCUGCGGUAUUCUGACUGUACAAAGGUAGCAUAAUAAUUAGUUUUUUAAAUGUAAACUAGAAUGAAUGGUUAAACAAAAUAAAAAUUGUCUCUAUUAUUAUUUUAAAAUUUAACUUUUAAGUGAAAAGGCUUAAAUAAACCAAAAAGACGAUAAGACCCUAAGAAGCUUAAUAUUUGAAUUUUGUUUUAAAAAAUUAAUUUAAUUAAAAACUAAAAUUAUUUAUUUAGUUGGGGCGAUGUUUAGAUAAUUUAUUUUAACUCUAAAAUUUUUAAACAUUUAAAAUGAAAAAUUUAAUAGAUCUUUAAUAAAAAUUAAAAGUAAAGUUACUCUAGGGAUAACAGCGUUAUUUUUUUUAGGAGUUCAUAUUUAAGAAAAAGAUUGCGACCUCGAUGUUGAAUUAAAAAUUCUUUUUAGUGCAGCAGCUAAAAAAGAAAGUCUGUUCGACUUUUAAAAUUUUACAUGAUUUGAGUUCAGACCGGCGAGAGCCAGGUCGGUUUCUAUCUUUUGUUUUUAUUAAAAUUAAUUUA
rnacentral:rRNA from 1 species